AUUGAACGCUGGCGGCAUGCUUUACACAUGCAAGUCGAACGGUAACAGGCCGCAAGGUGCUGACGAGUGGCGAACGGGUGAGUAAUGCAUCGGAACGUGCCCAGUCGUGGGGGAUAACGCAGCGAAAGCUGUGCUAAUACCGCAUACGAUCUAUGGAUGAAAGCGGGGGACCGUAAGGCCUCGCGCGAUUGGAGCGGCCGAUGUCAGAUUAGGUAGUUGGUGGGGUAAAGGCCUACCAAGCCGACGAUCUGUAGCUGGUCUGAGAGGACGACCAGCCACAGUGGGACUGAGACACGGCCCAGACUCCUACGGGAGGCAGCAGUGGGGAAUUUUGGACAAUGGGCGCAAGCCUGAUCCAGCAAUGCCGCGCGCAGGAAGAAGGCCUUCGGGUUGUAAACUGCUUUUGUACGGAACGAAACGGUCUGGGUUAAUACCCUGGGCUAAUGACGGUACCGUAAGAAUAAGCACCGGCUAACUACGUGCCAGCCGCCGCAGUAACAC
rnacentral:rRNA from 1 species